rnacentral:rRNA from 1 species
UACGUAGGGUGCAAGCGUUGUCCGGAAUUAUUGGGCGUAAAGAGCUCGUAGGCGGUCUGUCGCGUCGGCUGUGAAAUCCCGAGGCUCAACCUCGGGUCUGCAGUCGAUACGGGCAAACUAGAGUAUUGCAGGGGAGACUGGAAUUCCUGGUGUAGCGGUGAAAUGCGUAGAUAUCGGAAGGAACAUCAGUGGCGAAAGCGACUUCCUGGACCAGUACCGACGUUCAGGCACGAAAGCGUGGGGAGCAAACAGG